UCUUACCUGUCAGACAUCACAUCAUUGGAGGCAGUAGCAAUUAUGAACCCAACAAUAGUAGCCAGAGUUGCAUGGAUGGAGGACAGCAACCUUGUGAAGAGAUGGAAUAGAUGAGAUGAGGCUAUGCAAAUAAAGCAUUUUUUCGGUUGCAUGUACGUUUUUAUUUGGACCCUUUUUGGAAGUCCAUCUGUCGCUCAGUGAAACGCCAUUCUUUGCAUCAGUACAACACGCCUUACUGCAAGACCACCUAUUCAAGACCUGCAGUUGUCUCAGGGGUGCCCUACUGAACCAGCAAGCAAAGACAUCAGGAUGCAUUACAACUUUGAUUUUGCUCAACAAGUGCACUAUCCUUCUUACCCUAUGCAGCCAGGUCCCAUCUACUUUUUAACUCCUCGCAAGUGUGGCUUGUUUGGUGUCUGCUGUGAAGGAAUGCCACAACAAGUCAACUACUUGACUGAUGAAGGCCUGUCAUGCAGCAAAGGCAGCAGCGCAGUCAUCAACUACAUGCACCAUUUCUUCACCAACUACGGAGUUGGGGAAACACGUGGGGACCUGAAUUGUGAUAACUGCAGUGGCCAAAACAAGAACAAGUUUGUGCUCUGGUAUUCUGCCUGGCGGACCAUGCACAAGAUCCACCACAGUCUGGACCUUCACUUCCUGAUCAGAGGCCACAUCAAGUUUGCCCCGACUGGUGCUUCGGCCUCAUCAAGCAGCGCUUCAGAAAGACCAGAGUGAAUACUUUGUCUGAGAUGGUUGGUGUUGUGAAAGACAGCACAGUGACAGGGGUCAACAUCCCACAGCUGGUUGGACUGGAGGAUAGUACGGUGCUGGUGGAAGGCUAUGGCUGGCAACCACACCUGACUCCGUACUUCAGGCCGCUGCCACAGAUCAAGCAGUACCAGCACUUCAGCUUUGAUGCUCUGGAGCCUGGUGUUGUCGCCAAGGAGCGUUCAGUCAGGACCAGGUUUCAGCUGCUGCACAACGCUGACAUCCUUCCUCCCAUAGAUGGUCUGCCUGUACAAGCACCACCUGGACUGGAGAAAUCUAGACAAACAUAUACAGUGCCUUGCGAAAGUAUUCGGCCGCCUUGAACUUUGCGACCUUUUGCCACAUUUCAGGCUUCAAACAUAAAGAUAUAAAACUGUAUUUUUUGUAAAGAAUCAACAACAAGUGGGACACAAUCAUGAAAUGGAACGAAAACCUGAUGGAGUCUGCAAAAGACCUGAGACUGGGACGGAGAUUUGUCUUCCAACAAGACAAUGAUCCAAAACAUAAAGCAAAAUCUACAAUGGAAUGGUUCAAAAAUAAACAUAUCCAGGUGUUAGAAUGGCCAAGUCAAAGUCCAGACCUGAAUCCAAUCGAGAAUCUGUGGAAAGAACUGAAAACUGCUGUUCACAAAUGCUCUCCAUCCAACCUCACUGAGCUCGAGCUGUUUUGCAAGGAGGAAUGGGAAAAAUGUCAGUCUCUCGAUGUGCAAAACUGAUAGAGACAUACCCCGAGCGACUUACAGCUGUAAUCGCAGCAAAAGGUGGCGCUACAAAGUAUUAACUUGAGGGGGCUGAAUAAUUUUGCACGCCCAAUUUUUCAGUUUUUGAUUUGUUAAAAAAGUUUGAAAUAUCCAAUAAAUGUCGUUCCACUUCA